rnacentral:rRNA from 1 species
GAUGAACGCUGGCGGCGUGCCUAAUACAUGCAAGUCGAGCGAACAGAUGAGGGGCUUGCUCCUCUGACGUUAGCGGCGGACGGGUGAGUAACACGUAGAUAACCUACCUAUAAGACUGGGAUAACUUCGGGAAACCGGAGCUAAUACCGGAUAAUAUAUUGAACCGCAUGGUUCAAUAGUGAAAGACGGUUUUGCUGUCACUUAUAGAUGGAUCCGCGCCGCAUUAGCUAGUUGGUAAGGUAACGGCUUACCAAGGCAACGAUGCGUAGCCGACCUGAGAGGGUGAUCGGCCACACUGGAACUGAGACACGGUCCAGACUCCUACGGGAGGCAGCAGUAGGGAAUCUUCCGCAAAGGGCGAAAGCCUGACGGAGCAACGCCGCGUGAGUGAUGAAGGUCUUCGGAUCGUAAAACUCUGUUAUUAGGGAAGAACAAAUGUGUAAGUAACUAUGCACGUCUUGACGGUACCUAAUCAGAAAGCCACGGCUAACUACGUG